GCAGGUGGGGGACACAUUUAUUCUCCGGGGGUUUCAGGCUGGGAAGGGAGGGGUCCAGACUCGGUGGUGGAGGAUUCUGGAAUUAAGAACUGAGAUGAGGGCUCUGAGGUCUCCUCGAAUGAGACCUCCUGGGCCUGGGCCAGUUGGGCUGUGUGCUCAAAGGCAGCUUGAAGCAGAUUUGCCAUAGGAGAAGCCCCAGCUUAGCUUCCUCAACUGACACCCCAUUAUCCUCACCACCAGGCCUCUCUCCCUGUCCCUUCCCUGUCCCUUCCCUGUCCCCAUCAGUUUCAGGCUGGAGAAUGAGUGUGCAGU
rnacentral:lncRNA from 1 species